GGGAGUGUCGCCUAAUGGACAGGGCAUCGAUCUUCUAAAUCGACUGGUGUAGGUUCAAUCCCUACCACUCCUG
rnacentral:tRNA from 3 species